rnacentral:pre_miRNA from 1 species
UGUAUAGGAUAAGUAUGCCCUAUGCAAUAUUUGGGACAUAAUUAUACUAAAU